CUCUUCCUUUCCAGAUACCAGGCCAUCAUCAUACCCAUUUCUAUAACCCUCGUGAUAAUGUGUCUCAUCUAAGGCUAAUGCUGGUUCAAGAAAAUCCAUGUUAUGAAACAAAGUCUAAUAUUUUCCAACAAUAUUCAGCUUGCAAAGAUGUAAUUCCAAGAAAUCUGCUCCAUCAACAAAAUAAAGGUUGCAGUUGUCAGUAACUAUAUGAGUACAUGUUAAAGGUAAAGAGAAAAAACUCAUGAUUGAAAGUAACGUUAUAGAUCAAGGGAAAUCAUACUCUUGCUAAAAUAUAAACUAAAUGUUGCUGCAGAUUGAAUGAAGACGAUACAAAUGAUUGAUUAAAACUCAANNNNNNNNNNNNNNNNNNNNNNNNNNNNNNNNNNNNNNNCAAGUAGGGAAUUUAUCCUCCCACUGUCUAAUAGAUACGUACAUUUUAUUUUGUUCUAAUAAGUAAGACUCUAUAUUCUGCAGGUUAUAUGGUACUAAUGACUACGGGCCACAAAUAAAAACAGCAAGGGCUACAUUCUACAGCCACUCCAUAUCAUAGUUCGUUUAUCAGAGAUCCCUCUUGUUAGAUACAAAGUAAAUUUAUAUGGCCCCAAAACAAAAUAUGUUGUCUAAAAGUUCCUAUUUUAUCAGCAUCAUGAUUAUCAGGACGCAACACUCCUAUCUCAGAGUCACAGUCAGUCAGUCAGUCAUAUAAUCAUGUGUUUGACAAAAGAGGGGAUGCCCAUAACCAAAAUCUGGUUACUCUAUCCANNNNNNNNNNNNNNNNGUUCUAAACCGUCUUACAGUUCAACGAACACCCGAAUCCCUACGAUCCAAACUUAAGCAGAACUCCUAUGGUUAAUUUCAUCGGUACAGCAGUGGCAGUGCGUACACCUAAUCAGAAAGGGGGAGGAAGUAGGGGGAGCGACUGCCGACGAGCCGCAGCCGGCAGACUGACGGCGAAGAUCAGAGAAACAUCAUACUAGUACAAUUAUUUGGAAGAGAAAUCAGAGGAGGGAGUUCACCGCAGUGUGCGCGCACCUUCGUCUUGCGGUAGCCAGCCUCCGCCUCCNUAUUUUUUCAGGGGUAAACUGGAAACAACCUGCGCGCCGCUCGGGCCUUCCUUCGUCUUCCUCUUGACCACUUCCACCGCUCUUUCUCCCGUGGGUAUGUUAAGCUAGGGUUUAGUCUUGUAGUUGUAGACACAGGGUUUAGGAUCCGGGAGCAGCCCAGCUCCCCUCCCAGACCUCUCUCAUGUCGUCUUCCUCCCGAGUAAGUCACCCCAUCUCCCCCCUCCGGCUCUCUCUCUCUCUGUCAGCGCCCGCGCGCGAAUUCAUG
rnacentral:lncRNA from 1 species